AUCUCAAAUCAGGUAGGACUACCCGCUGAACUUAAGCAUAUCAAUAAGCGGGAGGAA
rnacentral:rRNA from 1 species